AGUCAGGCUGCAUCAGCUGAAGCUGUUAUUUGUAUAUAUCAGUAUUUUUUAUUCAGGUGUGGGGAAAAUACGUAAGACUGCAGUGAAGCGAUGCACCAGAUUAAUCCCUGGCCAAAGAACAGUUCUCCACAGUCGCUGUCCACAUGGGUCAGUGGGACCAAGAAGCACUCUGCUAAUGUGGGACUCUGACCAGCAACAUCCAGCAAGACCCAGACAGCGUUUUCUAUCUCCCAGCUGGAGUUUUUUGUUUGUCUGUGACUGGAGAGUCAGAUUUUUGUUGAGCUUCACACUUGCAGAGGUAAGUCAGUUUGCAGAGAUCCCUCCCACCCUGGCUUUUAUGUGCUAGAUUUCUUAUCUGAAACGGUAAUAUUUCAGUGACUGCUGCUUCUACACUCUACUGAUCCCUGAUGGGAGAAUCAUCAAUUUUGGCAACAAAGAAGCCUGGUGGAUGUUUGUUUACAGUCUGAUGAUGGGACAUCAUGCUCUGCAUCUUCAAAGUUUGCCUCCUCAUUAUUAUUCAUACCCAGUAAUGUGAAGUAUGCUCAUAUCUACUAUAACUGAACCAACCUGGUGCUCUUCAUUUAUGGAGGCUGUUGAGUCUGAAUGUUGGAUGUUGUGUAUCUCGUGUUCUCUGGGCUUUGUUGUCCUCAGUCUUUUUGCAGGAUCAGAAAACAAAACCAGGAGGCGCGUAAAUGUUUCUUUUCCAUGAUGUUUCUUCAAAUGUUUCUUCUGGAUGAUGAUAAGACUGUGACACAGGAUGCCACCUUUGGUCUUGUGAUGAAGCAAAGCUCAGGAAGAAGUGUGAUUAAAUGGUACCCACAUGUGUGCUGCUGAGAAGGAUGUACAGGGGCACCUGCAGCCAAAUCCAAGCUUCAGAGCAGCAGUUUGUGCUCACAGAUGGUGACGGUGUGGAGAGACGGUGGUGUUUCCUCAGAAGAACCAGCAGAGUCACUCGCUGACUGAUGCUCGUCUGCACUGCACAGAGGAAAUCAACUGACCGAGGAAUGGAGAAAUGGAAUCAAAGGGAGAUGUUUUUGCUGUUUUUGUAAUGAUAUGGGCAGCAUAUCAGUCUUGGACUGUCUAACCUGCCGGAGCAGCACUGAAUGACCACCACACAUGAGCAUGUUCCUGCAACAUUCAGCAUCUGAUCCUUCAUCUGUGUGCUGCUGCUUUUGUGUCACAUGUCAAACAGCUGGAGAGGAAACUACACCAGUGUACUGGGAUGUUUCACCAACACGUGCCAGAUGCUGUUCCUUCAUGGUGACAUCACCAGAGACAGCCCCACCCACCUCAGGACCUCGCCAUUGAUCAUGAUGAUUAUAAUGAUGACAGCGAGCGGAACUAAGACUGUAAAAAUCCACGACCAGAAUUUUUCUUUCU